AUGCACGCGCGCGGCCCCGCGCUGCAAAUUUCCACCGGGGAGGGAGAGUGGCUGGAUGCGGAGAGUUUGGAGUUGCUUGCCGCGGAGGGCUGGAAGGGGAGCAGGGCCGGGAAAGGGGGCUGGCGGGCGCUAUAUCUGGGAGUAAGUUUCCAGGAUCAGGAGAGCCUGCACGCUUGCACGCUAGUAAGUUUCUGGUUGGGGAGGGCGCGUGGGGAGGAGGAGAGGGAGGGGUGCAUGUAUAUAGAAGGGGGGAGGGGGGAGCAGAUUUCCUGCGGGGAGGCUGAAUGCAUAUGGAGAGUAGAUUUCCUGAAGGGAGGGUGGAGGCGUAGACGGACCGACUCUGCUCGCCCCCCAUCUCAUCCCCCAAGCGGAGUCUGGUCUUGUCGGAUUGCCCAUGCACUUGUUGCAGAAACAGCCAAGGCCCCGGCUCUGGAGGAUGCUGAAGGAGGAAGACAUGGAAGCAGGACGACCCUGAAAGAUUAAGCCUCCCAAUCCUGCAACAG
ensembl:lncRNA